GAUGAAGAACGUAGCGAAAUGCGAUACUUGGUGUGAAUUGCAGAAUCCCGUGAACCAUCGAGUCUUUGAACGCAAGUUGCGCCCGAAGCCAUUAGGCCGAGGGCACGCCUGCCUGGGCGUCACACGUCGUUGGCCCCCCAUCUACUCCUUCGGGAUUGCGGGGGGCGGAUGAUGGCCUCCCGUGCGCCUCGUCGCGCGGUUGGCAUAAAUGCCAAGUCCUCGGCGACGCACGCCACGACAAUCGGUGGUUGCGAAACCUCGGUUGCCCGUCGUGUGCGGUCGUCGCGCAUCGAGGGCUCGAAAAAAUUGCCGGGCUCCGGCUCGGCUUUCAACGCGACCCCAGGUCAGGCGGGGUUACCCGCUGAAUUUAAGCAUAUCAAUAAGCGGAGGA
rnacentral:misc_RNA from 1 species